UGGGAAACCCCAUCAAAAAAAAAAAAAAAAAAAAAAAAAGUGUGCUGUUUAGUUAUACCUAUAAGAAUUCUUUUAUCUUCUACCUUUUACUCCCUAGUACUCAUGGAAUGCCCAGCAUCUGAAUUAGCAAUAAAAGGUGACUCCCUGUCAUCACUUGGGGAGAGAGUGACACCUGCUGCUGGAAGCUCUGCUAAACGUUUUAAAACAACUUGGACAGAAUCAAGAUCCUGCAAAAUGUUUGCCUUGAUUUAAAAAUUCAGCUGCACAAAUGGAGGAGAGGAAACAUAACCAGGAUUAACAGCAAUAUAUACCUAAGAGCCGUAAGGAUUUUAGUGGACUACAAGUGCUCACUUCCCCACAACUUAAGACAGCCGUAAGCUAAAUUAUUAAAGGCAGCUGAUGACCAGGGCUGAGAACUUGCUCCAGACCACGAGCCUCUCUGUUGAUAAAGCAAGAAGACUCACAGUUUCUCGGCAUCUCAGGGAGCCUGCAGCAGUGAUCCAGUUCUUUCAAAGGGUCUGUGGAUUCUCAGCUUUCCAGACUAGGCUCUGGUGAUAGGUCACCUUCCAUCGGGAAAAGAAAGCAGCGCAAGUAAAGAAACAACAUCAUUUUGUGAUGAUGCGAUGACGGAAAUAAACAGGAAGAUAUGAUAAAUAGUACAUGGAGUGCCUACUUCACAAGAAAGCCUGAGAGAGUCCAGUUGUAUUCAAGGAGAGGCAGAAGUAGCCAGGAGGCAGAUCCGGUAGGACCGUGAAAGGCAUGGUAAGAAGUUGGGAACGCGUUCCAAUUAUGUUGGAAAGCUGCUGGAAACUUUUAAGCAGGGAAGUGAUACAAUCUGAUUUACAUUUUGAAAAUGGGUUGCUGUUUGAGUAACAAAUUCUAAGUGGGCAGAUGCAGAGGCAGGGAGACCAGUUAGGAAGUGAUUGAAAUGGUCCAUGUGAGAGAAGUCAGUUGGUGGCUUAGUUUAGGGUAGUGGCUGAGGCAAUGGUGAGGAGAGGGUGGAUUCCGUGUAUAACGUGAAUAUAGAAUUGAUAGAGAUUGCUGAUGUGGGGUGUGGGAAAGGGAAAGAUCAAGAUUGCAAAUGAAUUUCAUUUAACAAAUAUGGAGGCUAUUUCUGAGAUAAGAAAGACUGGGAGGAAAACAGGGUGGGUUUUUUUUUUUUUUUU